AUAGGUGUGUGGAUACACAUGGAGAGAGGGAAGGAGGAGGGGAGGGAGGAGAGAGGGAGACAACAGACAUAGACUGAGUCCAUACCAUGACAAAUGCCUGGAGACUAGAUAGGCAAGGAGGCCAGAUGGGAGAAUCUCAAAGGGAACUUCCUGGACUCAGGCCCAGAGGAAAGAGCCAUCAAGUGGGCAGAGACACCCAGAGCCUUCAGUGACAGUUAGGAACUAUCCAGGCAUCCAUGACAGAUAGCAGGAUGGGACUGAUCAGAAAGGCCACCAUCUCACGGACUGAUGAUGAUAAUGAUGGAUGUGCCUGGAGAUAAUGAAUGGCUCGACCUGCUGAUAGAUCAAGUUGCCUCCCGCCACCUUGCUCACCCUGUGCUCACCCUGUGUGACUGGGCAUGGCAGCGGUGGUUGCUGCUCUUCUGCUACCCACAAGGGGGAGCUCGCGUUCGGGACCCGGUCAGAGAUGGUUUCCGUGACGGUAGGACCACGUGAUCCUCCUCUCCUCCCUCCCAUUCCUCAGGUUCAUAAAUGGUCCUGAUUGAAAACUGCUCCCCAUGGAAGGGCAAGAGAAAGGCUUCACGCUGCCACAGGACAAGUAGACCUUCUCAGCCACACACUUGU
rnacentral:lncRNA from 1 species